ACCUCUCCACCCAAGUAAGACGAGUAACUCGGUUUCAGUCAACGUGUUUAACAAGAAUCAAACAGAUACAUGCUCGCGGUUUUAGAUAAAAUUUCUGGAUAGACAAACUUUUAGAUAAGUUUUAUCGAAGAAGAAGAAAGGUGCAUGAAAGAAAUACAUAUAAUGUAUGCAAAGUUUAUGGUGUUACUUGAGAAGCGAUACAAUCGAUAAUGUGCGUAACGAGAAACGAGAUUUACAUACAAAAAAUUUCAAUUUAGAGACGACUGAGAAGACAAGGAAUUUUAAAAUCCGAUGCAUUUGCGGGAUUUGUUGGACGUGCCAAUUAUAAUAUCACAAAGUGCACAAUUGCGUACAUUGUGAAAUAAAUGUGCUUAAUGUCGACCAAUAAUAUUAAAUAAUUUAAAAGUAAUCCUUUUCGUAAUUAGUAACAACUUGAGAUUUGAUAGAAACUGACAUACUCUAUCGAUUAAAUGUAUGUACCCUCCUUUCUCUUUCUCUCAGUCUUCCUCAAAAUAAUAUCAAAAUCAGAAUGAAAACUGACGGAGAUACUUCGUGUCGUUUAAGUACAACAAAUAUGGAACAACGUUUAAGAAGCCCGAAGUGUGCAAGAUGUAGAAAUCACGGUGUAAUAUCCGGCUUAAAAGGUCAUAAGAGAUCCUGUGCAUGGAGAGAUUGCCGAUGUCCUUGUUGUCUUCUAGUUGUCGAGAGACAGCGAGUGAUGGCAGCGCAAGUUGCUUUACGUAGGCAACAACAAGCACAAGGCGACAAUCUUUUAUCUUCGGUAAAUAAAAUAUCAAUGGACACUGCAAGUCCUUAUUACACUAAAGCAAAACACAACGAAUCUGCCUGUGGUAAAAGAAGCAAGAAUUUUCAAAGGCAUCACGUACAUUUCACGCAGACGAGAAUCAGCGUAACGCAGGAUUUCUACGGAUUGAAUACCGCACCUAGUUUACCUGGCUCAUUAUCAACACACCCGCGUUUAUUGAGCACUUUAUCUUCUCUGGGAUGCAAUAGAAAACAAGAAGUUGAACCCACUCUAAAGGUACACUCUUUCCAUUCUGCAUACCCGACAAUGGUUCCAUGGUUCAAUGAGGUAACGCAAUCGUAUAUUGCGAAUGGGGAUUUGAAUCAUUUUCUUUCUACAAGAGAUUUACGGAACUGUCCUACUACAAUUAAUGAACCUUGUUUAGAAAAAAAAGCGCCAAUUUCGUUCAGCGUGGAAUCUAUUAUCGGUACAAAAUAAUGUUCCAAUAUUCGUAUUUUAAUCGUUUGAGCAGAGCUGUAACUAGCUUUUCAUGUCUCUUGGCAAAUUCAUCGAUUAUGGUUGCAUUCCGAAAUGCACUGCUAGUACUGAAAAUCUAUAACAUACGUAAUAUAAACUAUAAAUUUUCAGUAAUGGUAUUAUAUGUCGAAAACCUAGAUUAGUGUAUUUGAUUUGCUGACUCCACUUGAUUUCGAGUCGGUGGUCUAUUCUUUUUAGCUGCAUUUCUUGCAUAGUUUAUCUCUUUUCUAGCUAAAAAAGACAGACUAUCAAUUUGGUUCGAGUCAGCAAAUCGAAUAUGCUAUUAGUGUCAAGAUUCGAGCUGUGUUCGAAAACAUUACUCGAGUGCCUCCAUGUAUCAUUUUAUUCUUUUUAUUCAUCGUAUGUUAAAUAAAGAUGAAAUAAUACAUAAAGGCACUUUGGUGAUAUUCCGAAACACAGCCUAGGUUUCAAACUUAAGAACACGACGCGAAAUUUUAAAUUUGAAAAUAUUUUAUUUUUAUUUUUUUAAAUUAGAGUUUCAUUUUAGGGCUUCCCUUCAUCUGUGUCACUAGUUACGGCUCUGUGUUUGAGUUUUAACUACUAUUAUUCCAUACAGCACAGAAAGAUUACAGCAAUUUUGCGAAAAUAUAUUAUUGCAAGAUUGCAACAUUGCAAAAAUGUUGUAAAAUUUUUUAUAUUUUGAUGUUUUUGAUAAAACUUUAGAUACAUAAUAUUAAUAUAUUUUAGCAUAUACAUAACUUCCAGAAACGUCACAUAUCCGAACACGUACUUUAAUUUUUAUAGAACUAAAAAUUUUACAAUCAAAAUAUAUUUCAUUUAUUUUCUAAUUUAAAGUCAAUUUUAAGAACUCACCCUUUCAAAGAAUCAUUAAAAUGUAAGUCAAAAAUUAUGUCUUAUAUUCUAUCUUGUGUGAUUAUUUAAUUACGAAAAGUAAAACUUACGACUGUGUCGCAUUAUACGGCGGUCGCGUAAUACUGCGCGCGAGUGAAGCACAGAACAUUAUUUUUCAUAAUAUUUUUUAAACAUUGUUGCAACAUUACUGAAGCAAUAUAGUUAAAAAAACUUAGCAAUGUCUUUGCAACAUUGUAUUACAAUAUAUUUUGCAACGAUAUUGAUACUGUGCUGUAUGAAAUGUGUUAAUUUUGACGAUCUGACAAUAUAAAAAUUACUAACAAUACUGCUAUUACAGUAUGAUCGUACACAAUAAGUACUUAUAAACGUAUGAACGAAUAGUAUAAGUCGCAUAUUUUUCAGUAAUAUUGCAUAACAAAAUUGUAAACAAUAGAUAGUAAGUAACAAUGUUAAAUUUUUGAAUAGGAAAAACGGAGUGAGAUAUUGUCCGUAUUCAAAUAUUUGUUAGUGUUCAAACUAUUAAUCCCGAUAAA